rnacentral:rRNA from 1 species
GUGUCAGCAGCCGCGGUAAUACGGAGGGGGCGAGCGUUAUUCGGAAUUAUUGGGCGUAAAGGGCGCGUAGGCGGCUGUGUAAGUCAAAGGUGAAAUCCCUCGGCUCAACUGAGGAACUGCCUUUGAAACUGCUCAGCUUGAGGCCGGGAGGGGGUGGUGGAAUUCCCAGUGUAGCGGUGAAAUGCGUAGAUAUUGGGAGGAACACCAGUGGCGAAGGCGGCCACCUGGACCGGUUCUGACGCUGAGGCGCGAAAGCGUGGGUAGCAAACAGGAUUAGAAACCCUUGUAGUCC